rnacentral:tRNA from 1 species
GAGGAUGUAGGUCAGUUGGUAGAGUACUUGCCUUGUAUGCAAGAAACUCUGGGUUCAAUCCUCAGCACCGCA